rnacentral:rRNA from 1 species
GUCUACGGUCAUACCACCCGGAAUGCACCUGAUCUCGUGAAGCUAAGCAGGGUCGAGCCUGGUUAGUACUUGGAUGGGAUUCCGCCUGGGAAUACCAGGUGCUGUAGGUU